rnacentral:lncRNA from 1 species
GAAGGAUCACCAUAAUCAUGAUGCUCUUCACGAACGGCGUCGUGGAUUCAGCGUGAACAAAGGCGGUUCGUAGAUUCGGAUCGUUGGCUCGUGGAUUCGAGUGGCGUCGUGGAUUCGGCGUGAUUGAAGCUUCGUGGAUUCGAAGUGGAGGCGUUCGUGGAUUCGAACGUGAGGGUGUGGACAACCCGGAGGGUAGCGUGAAGAUUCAUAGGAGGUUAAGAGAGGUUUGAGUCCGUGGAUUCGGUAAAUCACCUUGUAAUCUUUUAUUCUUAGUGAAUUAUUUUUUCGCAUGUU